CUGUAUUGGAAGAUGAAGAUGAGGGAAUUGAGGCUGAAGAAGAAAAUGUUGAUGAGCCAGCUGUGGUUGUUGAAAACAAUACAAGACGGGUUAGAGCUGGAAACAAAUUGCACCACCUCAAACAUCUGGCCGAACAGUUGGAAGAACUUGCAUGUCUUAUCAGGUAUUGGACAGCUCGAUAUGAAGGACGGCACAAAAUUUUCUCCCAGUAUGGUGCAGUGUGCUGUAACUUUAUCAACUCACCCAAGUCCAUGGCACAGAUGUUUCAAAUGAGCACUCUGGCUGGCUAUCAAAAUACAACUCCUAGAGGAGAAGAUAUAGAGGUGUCUGCGGAAGGUGAGGUUCCUGUUGAAGCAACCGAUCACAGUGCCAUGUUAAUUGCUGCUGGACUCAUCCCAGGGAGCCUGGUUGAAAUAUGUCGCAGUGUGAAAGUUGCUGGUGACGAAUACAGGCCAGGCCUCUUUGUGCUGUAUGAUGUCCAACCAACAUUUGCCAUCAUCCAACGGAUUUAUGUGUGCAGACAAGAUGUUUACUUCAUCGUGCAACCAUGGGUUACCGAGGGAUUUGUCAACAGAUUUUGUGCUUAUGAAGUGACACCAUCAGCAGUCCAUCAGCAUUUGGUGAUGGAACACAAACAUCUUGCCAAUCAUCGCUGCUUUGCACCGUGGAAUCCAUGGCGAAGUAGACGCACAUUCAUUGCACCAAGGACAAUAAUAUUCUAGAGGCAGCACCCUGCAGGUUCCAUGAGAAAGAUCAGCUCUUGCUGCAGAAGCUGGUGUAUGAAUCGGUUUAUCUUUUGACAAGACCUUGCUGCCAAAAGUUAAAUGAUGCGCUCAAUUUACUCAACUACAAAGCAGCUUGAAGUUUAAUUGCCAAACCCUAUUUCAAUCUUUGUAGAUUACAUGAGAAUGGAUUGCAAAAGGGGCUUGACAUUAAAUCAGCUGAGGCCAGUUCAAUCUCUACAGACCAGCCAUACAUAAUUCAAGAUUGGUGACUAUUCUCUGAGCUUGAAACAUCUACUCGCCCUGUUACCAAGACCAGUUUGAAGUACACGUAUUGAAGAGCAAGCCAAUGGUAUUGAUAUAUCUUGUCUUUACUGUCACAUUUAGUUUUGAUUGAGUAUUUUUUCAGAAGUUCUGAGCUUAAUGCCUUUCUCUU